AAUCCGACCGUAUGAGUGGACUCCCCCGAAUGGCCCCGAAUGGUGAUACCUAGAAUUUUGUCAGCUGCGGCGACUCUCCGGUGACCGCGCUCAAAUGGAGAUGCGGUGCCCGGUUGGUGCGGAAGCCAACUACUUGCUCAUUCUACUCUGUGAGGUACGCCUUCCUCGACAGGCGCGGCGCCGGCCGCUGCUGGAUUCUUGGCGCCUUGCGGUCGCAGGGACAAGACGACGAAGCGAGGGAAGCGGACGAAGAUGAUUGAUGGGAUCGAGGGUAGGGUGGAGGUCACCGAGUCCGCAACCGGUGGCUGGCUCAGAGUUUUGUUCUCCAUCUCUAUUGGAAAAAUAGUCUUCAUCUAUGUUUUUGUGACCGCGUUAUUCAUCACUCAGAUAAAGGUCUCCAUUGUAUGUGAGUUUCAGAAGUUGGGAUUGAAGACGAAGGUGUAUACUGGGCAGCCCGGGCAGACUUACCUUCCUUUGCAAGAGCCUGGAACCACAUGAUAAGAGCAAACAGUUGUUCUGAGUCCUCUGACAUAUGGGUAGGAUUUUCCAUAGUCAUUUGGAAAACCAUGGAUGAACAAGAUUUCUCCAAAUGCAAAAGUUCAAUAAGAUUGUAAGUUCAUUUUGGAUCUUAUAAAAGAUUGCCUUAUAGCCCUUUCACUAGAAGUCUUUUGUCAAUAGACAAUCAACCUCUUAUUAGUUUGACAUGGGAAAAAUACUUUCUACUCUACAUCCACAUCUCUAUAGCUUCUGCUAUAUCCAUUUGGUUUAAGAAACUUGGAAUACCAGUCACCAGAAUAUCUACGAUACCUCGUUCUGUUUUGUACACUAAAUUUGACUCCAAUGAGACCAUAGCGACUACUAUAGCCAUCAACAAGCUCAAAGCUAUCCACAAAGGACCAAGCAAAAUAACCCCUGGCAUUUGUUCCAUUCCUGCAGUAUCAUCAAAAGUUUCGAGUCAGCUAAGAAUUUUAAACGUCAAUCCUUUGUAGUACUAAAGUACAAGAACUAAAUGGAUUCUGGAAAAAAAAUUGGAAGUACCUUAUGGAAAGAAGCAUGCUUUCUAUGUAAUCUUUCAUGUAGUUUGCUCUGUGCUCGUCAUGAUAGUUAUAUUCAGUAGUUGCAGGAUCUAUGUUGUACUCUGGAUAUCCUGAAAUUACCCACUGUAAAUAUAUUAGAAUCAAUGCUAGAAUGUGAUGCUGUUUUUAUGGCCGUCUUUGUGAACCAAACAAUUACCAUUUUCAUGGAUAAAGACAGGUGGAUUUCCGUACUUGUCUCUGAUAUAGUGGAGCAAUCUUUGCAUAGCCCAUGGUGUCGAAGGGAUUGUAGGAGGAUCUUUUAAAACCAAUACCUGAUAGAAGUUCCAUUUCCUGUUAGAUUAAGUAGUUUCUAAGAAAUUCCAGGAAGAUAAAUCACUUGACAUUUAUUAUAGUUUUGUGCACCUUUGUAACAUUUGUUUGUGGAACUGCAGGAACAGAAAAAAAAUAGUUAAGGUAUAAUCACCGCCUAAUACCAAGACCAAUUUGUGAAAUAAGAUCGUCAAUCAGAACUUCGAAAGUAACUUACAUGUUAAACUGGCUGCAAUGUCAGUGUACCAAUCUCUCAAGAUGUCAUCUGGAUUACCAGUUACCGCUUGCACAAAAAACUCCUGAUAGUGAUUAAAUCCAAUGAAAUCAAAAGAUCCUCUCAAUAAGGCCGACUCUUCUGGUUUGAAGGAUGGUAAGCGAGAUCCAACAAACUUCCUCAUCACAAAAGGGAACCUUCCAUACACUAUAGGAUCAAUGAACCUGCCGCAAAGCCCAUCGAAUUCAGUACACGUCACACAACUUCUGUAUGUCUAGAUUGAGCACACAGAAGAAAUCUCCAGUAUAUUGUUUGGUUACUCACCAUCCUAUUAAGAAAUCCAAAACUCUGUUAGCUGCUGCUAUAUCCUCUGGUAGAGUUGUGAAUGGCUCAAACCAGGGAGCAAAUAAGGUAAUUCCGAUAUAACCUCUUUGUUUUGGCUUUUGUACGAGAAAUAACACUCUUGUUCAGUUAACAUUCUGAAUAAUAUUAAUAACAUUCAACAAAAUUGAAACUCAUGCUGAAACCUGAUAUUUCUUUCUGUACAAGGAGACUGCUGAUGCAUGAGAGAGCAAAAGGUUAUAACCAGCCGCAUAUGGCUCAACAGAUGAAUUCCCUUUGGUGCAAUUGAGUCCAUAUAAGGAGGCCAAGGAAGAAGAGCAAUGAUUUGGUGGAAAGUUCGCAAGAUCGUAGCCUUGGAUAGAGUAAACGUUUGGCUCAUUGAUAGUGACCCAGUAUUUUACACUGUCCCCAAACUCUUUGAAGCACACAUCGGCAUAAGAAGUGAAGUCUUCUCUGCAUCCGAAUAGACACCAUCUCAGACACGGUUACAAGAGAAUCAAAUGUAAUGGGAAAUUGCCAAAGUUUACACAAUAUUUGGGCUCAACACUCCUGAAUAUUCAUCUUCCAGGGCUUGGGGAAGGUCGAAAUGAAGAAGAGUGACAUGAGGCUCAAUUCCUGCAUGCAAGUAUAGUUUGGGGAAAUUGUGAAUGUGGAAUUCUUAAGGGAGACAACUGAUGCAUGGGAAAGCAAAAGGUUAUGACCAGCUACAUAUGGCUCAACAGAUGAAUUCCCUUUGCUGCAAUUGAGGCCAAGGGAAGAGGCCAAGGAGGAAGAGCAGUGAUUUGGUGGAAAUAU